AUUGAACGCUGGCGGCAUGCUUUACACAUGCAAGUCGAACGGCAGCGCGGGGCAACCUGGCGGCGAGUGGCGAACGGGUGAGUAAUAUAUCGGAACGUACCCAGAAGUGGGGGAUAACGUAGCGAAAGUUACGCUAAUACCGCAUACGAUCUACGGAUGAAAGUAGGGGACCGCAAGGCCUUAUGCUUUUGGAGCGGCCGAUAUCUGAUUAGCUAGUUGGUGAGGUAAAGGCUCACCAAGGCGACGAUCAGUAGCUGGUCUGAGAGGACGACCAGCCACACUGGAACUGAGACACGGGCCAGACUCCUACGGGAGGCAGCAGUGGGGAAUUUUGGACAAUGGGCGCAAGCCUGAUCCAGCAAUGCCGCGUGAGUGAAGAAGGCCUUCGGGUUGUAAAGCUCUUUUGUCAGGGAAGAAACGGUAGAGGCUAAUAUCCUUUGCUAAUGACGGUACCUGAAGAAUAAGCACCGGCUAACUACGUG
rnacentral:rRNA from 1 species